UGGUACCACUCCUUCCCAUCCCGAACAGGACAGUGAAACGACUUUGCGCCGAUGAUAGUGCGGGUUCCCGUGUGAAAGUAGGUCAUCGUCAGGC
rnacentral:rRNA from 1 species